rnacentral:rRNA from 1 species
AGCACGGACCAAGGAGUUUAGCGUGUACGCAAGUCAUUGGGUGAAUAAAACCCAAAGGCGAAAUGAAAGUAAAGAGUGGAAAAUUUGUAAUUUAUUAUAAAUUUUCCCUUGAGGGAAGAUGGAGUUUCUUUUUUGUUUUAUUUUAAAAAUUUAUUUUUGAAUUGACAAGAAAGAUCUCUCGCAUUCCCAGGGCGCUUGUUUCUCGCUUUGCGAGUCGAUGCGCACCUAGAGCGUACACGCUGAUACCCGAAAGAUGGUGAACUAUGCCUGGCCAGGACGAAGCCAGGGGAAACCCUGGUGGAGGUCCGCAGCGAUUCUGACGUGCAAAUCGAUCGUCGGAGCUGGGUAUAGGGGCGAAAGACCAAUCGAACCAUCUAGUAGCUGGUUCCCUCUGAAGUUUCCCUCAGGAUAGCUUGCGCUCGGUUGAGACGAGUCUCAUCCGGUAGAGCGAAUGAUUAGAGGCAUUGGGGUCGAAACGACCUCAACCUAUUCUCAAACUCCAAAUAGAUGAGACCCCCGGCUUUCUUGAAAAAGAAUGAAGCCGUGGGAUUAGGAUCAGAGUGCCAAGUGGGCCAAUUUUGGUAAGCAGA